UACAGAGGUCUCAAGCGUUGUCCGGAUUUAUUGGGCGUAAAGAGCGUGUAGGCGGCCAGGUAGGUCCGCUGUGAAAACUCGAGGCUCAACCUCGAGACGUCGGCGGAAACCCUCUGGCUAGAGUCCGGAAGAGGAGAAUGGAAUUCCUGGUGUAGCGGUGAAAUGCGCAGAUAUCAGGAAGAACACCCGUGGCGAAGGCGGUUCUCUGGGACGGUACUGACGCUGAGACGCGAAAGCGUGGGGAGCGAACAGG
rnacentral:rRNA from 1 species